GAGAGUCUGCAGAGGUACCGGAUCAACCACCAUCUUCAACAAUGCCAAGAUAUCCCCAUACUGAUUAUCAAAAACUUUCUAAUUACGGUCGGUCACGAGAUUACCCAAUUCUUCCAAAGAUGUCAAUGGCUCACGGUAAAAGUUGUAGGUGCAAGUCUUCCUCUUCAACUCUGGAAUGACAGCCAUCUCUCGAUGUGAACAGACUCCUGAAUAAACCUGAAAAAUGAUAUGCAUAUGCGGGUUAACUUUUUUUUCUUUUUUAUGCAUUAUUU
rnacentral:lncRNA from 1 species